CCCAACCUCAGGCCACGGUCUGCUGGGAGCAUUUACGGAACAUUCACUUCAUUUUCAUUCCUUUUUCUGAGUGGCAGGUUGAAGUGGAGAUAGGGCUACGUGAGCUAGUACCGGGGUACGCAUGCUAGUAGUAAUUGUAGAGACUACUGGGAAUUCAAGGCGCCCAUGUAUCUCCAGUGAUGCACUGAGCACAUGAAUCGUCUCAUAGCAGGAAAUAAUAUUCACUGUUGUGUGGGUGACUGGGUGCUGAAUAGUUUUAUUGUUCGCCGGUAUUGAACUUAGUCUGCCAAGUAAUUUUUGUCUUUCCUUUUUCAAUUCAAGUACUUUUGUCUUAAGAGUGUUUGUUGGGAGCAGGCAGUGCUGGAUCAGGAGCACGUCUGGGUGAUAGAUUGGAUCUUCUCUCUGAUGAAGUUGUCGCUGAGCAGCUUACAAGGAAUAUACAAUUUUUGGCCUUGAAUAUCAGAAGAAAGUUACCAAAUCUUUUGCUCUAGUUACUGCAAUAUUUGGUCAAGUUAUGGCCUUCUAUCUGGUUACUCAGCUUGCCAAAAUUGGAUUUUCAAGCUGAACCAAUUGUUAACCUGAAUUUGGACCAUUACUGUGUUCUCCACCAUCUUCUUGAGCAUGAGGAGCUUAUAUAUUGGUUAUUACUCCCUCCUUUUCAAUUUAUGAGGCCUAAAAUGUUGUCAGCUUCUUCCAUAUUAUAAGGUGGGAUAAAUCUAAGCCUGCCGAUGUGUCAAACAUAAUACUUUUCAAGUUCAGUGAGGCAGAUGCAAAUGAAUCCACCCUGCUUGAUCAAAUAAAGCAUGAAGCACCUGAAUUUCACGUCAUGGUUUUACAUGUGCUGAAACUUGAAACGAGCUGAAACAAAGUUUGCUUUAUAUGCUGGUCGCUAGAUGUUAUUGGAUUUCUACAAUUUGCGUACCGUCGUAACCUGAACCUGUGGAAUGUUCAUGGAUUAGGAAGGUAGGUUCCAGUUUGGUGUGGUCUGAUUUUGUGUGCUGCUGACGACGAGCAAGUAGAUGACAAACACACUUUUCAGAAGUUCUUUUUCAUCAUGGUACUGGCACUUGGUGGCAAUGUUUAGAUUUCUCUGAAUGAUCUUCCUGUAAUCAGCUCCCCAUGAUUUUUGAUGCGUUUGAGAUUAACUUAUAUGAACCGAACAGACCAUUAAUGUAUCGCUUACUACUGUAUGUGCAAUGAAUUCUAAGAGAUUCGGGCA